GUCGCCCACACAGGCGGUCGGAUGGCCAUCGUGCAGCAGCUCUCGAACGUCAUCGCCGCAGGCGCGCAUGACCUCGAACCAGCGCUGCGCGAUCUUGCCCAGUUCACCGGGAUGCCUUUGCAUCCAGGCCUCGAUACCUGGAUCGUGCCUGACCGCAGUGGGGAACCGCAUGAGUCGGCUCAUGCAUAGAGGCUACAAUGCCCCGGCAGUCAAAGGAACAAAAUCAUGCGCUACCUUGCGUUGCUGCUGCUCGCCUUCUUCGCGCCGGCCGCUUUCGCCCAAGCAAGCCUGAACGCACCUCCGGCCGUUCGCGCGGGUGCGCCGGUGCAAAUCACCGUCGCGGGCUCGAAGGAUCCGCGGGACUUCGUGACCAUCGUGCCCAAGGGCAGUCGCGAGGGCG
rnacentral:misc_RNA from 1 species